ensembl:lncRNA
CAAACGGAUCCUGUUUGUUAAGCUAGCUGCUAUGCUAAGCUAGCUGCUGUGCUACUGCCAUCUCAACAUCUGCCCUGUAUGGCACACAGUCUGCAGAGGACCACCACUGUGUCCCUAAAGGACUGUGGUUUGAAAACGUUCUGGCUAAAUGCGGGGACAUUGUUGGCACUUCAAACACAGCCGUUAAAUGAUGGAGAGUUGAGAAGCAAAGUGCACGAGGACAAAAGGAAGAGUCGCCAGUUCAACAUGUCCCACCCGGUGGAAUUCUGUCUCCAAGAUCAAAUGAAAACAGCUUGUGAUGUCACGAGAGGCUUGGUCUUGGAAGGGAGAUACGUUCACCG